GAUGAACGCUGGCGGCGUGCUUAACACAUGCAAGUCGAGCGGAAAGGCCCUUCGGGGUACUCGAGCGGCGAACGGGUGAGUAACACGUGAGUAAUCUGCCCCUGGCUUCGGGAUAGCCACCGGAAACGGUGAUUAAUACCGGAUAUGACCACUUUACGCAUGUUUGGUGGUGGAAAGUUUUUCGGCCAGGGAUGUGCUCGCGGCCUAUCAGCUUGAUGGUGAGGUAAUGGCUCACCAUGGCUUCGACGGGUAGCCGGCCUGAGAGGGUGACCGGUCACACUGGGACUGAGACACGGCCCAGACUCCUACGGGAGGCAGCAGUGGGGAAUAUUGGACAAUGGGCGGAAGCCUGAUCCAGCAACGCCGCGUGAGGGAUGACGGCCUUCGGGUUGUAAACCUCUUUCAGUACCGACGAAGCGCAAGUGACGGUAGGUACAGAAGAAGCACCGGCCAACUACGUGCCAGCAGCCGCGGUAAUAC
rnacentral:rRNA from 1 species